CUGCAGAAUCCGGAAUCUUGGAUUGUACUAAAGAAAAUUUCAAGAGAGUAUUUGAUGUGAAUGUGUAUGGUGCCUUCUUGGGUGCCAAGCAUGCCGCCAGGGUGAUGAUUCCAGCCAAGAAAGGCUGCAUACUAUUCACUGCAAGUCUUGCUUCAGUAUGUUGCGUGGAUUCCUCAUUGCAUGCCUAUACGACAUCAAAACAUGCAGUUGUGGGGCUAGCCAAGAACUUGUGCGUGGAGUUAGGACAGUAUGGGAUAAGGGUUAAUAGUAUUUCCCCAUAUGCUCUUGCUACCCCGAUGACAAGAAUUGGUUUGAAGAUGGGGAAGAUGGAGGCAGAAGAGUUAAUUUCAUCAACUGCUGUUCUGAAAGAAGCAAUAUUGGAACCAGAAGAUAUUGCACAGGCAGCCUUGUACCUUGCGAGUGAGGAGUCCAAGUAUGUCAGUGGGAUCAACUUGGUGGUUGAUGGAGGCUAUGGUCUCACCAACCCCUCCUUUGGAAUGGCAAUGAAAAGCCUAUUUGCUUAAGAUAGCUGGUAUUUUAUCCAUGAAAUUCCAAAUAAUUAAGAUGGGCUCUUUUUGCUGUUUUUUUUCUUUAUAAAAAAAAAAAAAAA
rnacentral:misc_RNA from 1 species